GAGAGGUGCUGCAUGGCUGUCGUCAGCUCGUGUUGUGAAAUGUUGGGUUAAGUCUCGCAACGAGCGCAACCCCUAUCGUCUGUUGCCAGCAUUAAGUUGGGCACUCUGACGAGACUGCCUGGGUUAACCAGGAGGAAGGUGGGGAUGACGUCAAGUCCUCAUGGCCCUUAUGUCUAGGGCUACACACGUAAUACAAUGGCGCAUACAAAAAAAAACAAACUCACAAAAAAAAGCAAAUCUCAAAAAACACAUCUCAGUCCAAAUUAAAAUCUGCAACUCAACUCCAUGAAGUUGGAAUCGCUAAUA
rnacentral:rRNA from 1 species